UACAAGCCUGGGAACAUAGCCAUUUCAAAG
rnacentral:piRNA from 1 species